GACGAACGCUGGCGGCGUGCUUAACACAUGCAAGUCGAACGGACAGGCCCUGCUUUUGUUGGUUUCUCGAUUGCCGAACGGGUGUGUAUCACGUGUGUAUCCUCCCCUUGUCUUUGGGAUAACUCCUCGAAACUCCGGCUAAUACCCGAUAUGAUCUCUCGCUCCAUAUUGUUGGUUGGAAAGUUUCGGCGGUGCUAGAUGGACUCGCGGGUUAUCAGCUUGUUGGUCUGGUAGUGGCUUACCAAGGCUUUGACGGGUAGCCGACAUGAGAGGGGGAACGGGGACAAGGGGACUAAGAGACGGACCAGAAGCCAACGGGAGGCAGCAGGGGGGAAUAUGGCACAAUGGGCGGAAGCCUGAGGCAGAAACGCCGCGUGCGGGAUGACGGCCUACGGGGUAUAAACAGCUGUGGAAUGUGAUGAAGAGGGAGUGACGGUAAUGGGUAAAGAAGCAACGGCUAACUACGUG
rnacentral:rRNA from 1 species